UAAAGGAAAAAAUUCAAGCAAAAAUCAGUUAUGACUUUUUCGUGGCAGAUAACCAGCGGGUCACCUUCUGAAAGCUAUUUUGACUUUGUGAGCCAGAAGGUCCUUAUGGAGUACUAGGCAUCAGCUAAGAUCCUUGAAAGGAACCAGGAUGCUGCCCAAGGAGUGUUCCAAGGACCAUGUGAAGUGUUAAAUAUGGGGCAUGAAAAUGGAGUUCACCAUGGACAUGGGUCUCUUGAGGCUACAAGCCUCUGGAGUGGCAGGACCAAUCAAGAUUCAGACCAUCUGACUAUGAACAGCUGGUUCUGAAAAAGCAGAAUCUUUUCUUUUGGAGAGGAGGAGCUGAUGUGGAACUGCAUCUCACAGGUUUUGCCAUCACCAGGGACCUGGGAGACCUGAGAAGAAACCCUGUUAGAAAUGACUGAGGCAAGCCUGACAUUGACUGUCAUUGUCUGCUUGCUUAUUUUUAUGAGUAGCAGAUCCUGCAGAGCAGCUUCUCUAGUAGCUGCAGCAAAAAAUUGUCCCCAACACACCUUAGAAAUUUGAAUUAUUGGUAUUAUGCUUCAUUGCCUUUCCAGAUGAUGCUGAAGUGUUAAAUUCCUCCAUGAGAACCAAGGUCUGUAACUGUGCCUUAAAGAAGCUUAUUUUUUCACUUUCUCUUCCUGACUGAGUUUCCUGUAGGAGCAAUCCACCGGCAUGUCCAUUCUUUUUGGACUUCCUUACACCCUCAGCCUAUGCUUUCAGCCAACUUUUUCCCUCUUGACUACAGAUGACUAUGGUGGAGAGUCAUCUGCAUAGAGCACAUUAUCCCCCUCUUUCGUCUUUCCUGGGAAGUCUGUGCCUAUCCGUUGCAGUGCUUCAUUCCUUGAACAGUUCUUCUAUGGCUCCAUAAUAAUCCCAUUACA